rnacentral:rRNA from 1 species
UACGUAGGGCGCAAGCGUUAUCCGGAAUUAUUGGGCGUAAAGAGCUCGUAGGCGGUUUGUCGCGUCUGCCGUGAAAGUCCGGGGCUCAACUCCGGAUCUGCGGUGGGUACGGGCAGACUAGAGUGAUGUAGGGGAGACUGGAAUUCCUGGUGUAGCGGUGGAAAUGCGCAGAUAUCAGGAGGAACACCGGUGGCGAAGGCGGGUCUCUGGGCCGAUACUGACGCUGAGGAGCGAAAGCGUGGGGAGCGAACAGG